GAGGGUGGAACCGCGC
rnacentral:misc_RNA from 1 species